GACGAACGCUGGCGGCGUGCCUAAUACAUGCAAGUCGAGCGGACGCCUUUGAAGCUUGCUUCAAAAGCGUUAGCGGCGGACGGGUGAGUAACACGUGGGCAACCUACCUUAUCGACUGGGAUAACUCCGGGAAACCGGGGCUAAUACCGGAUAACAUCUAGCACCUCCUGGUGCCGGAUUAAAAGAGGGCUUCUUGCUCUCACGAUGAGAUGGGCCCGCGGCGCAUUAGCUAGUUGGAGAGGUAACGGCUGCCCAAGGCGACGAUGCGUAGCCGACCUGGGAGGGUGAUCGGCCACACUGGGACUGAGACACGGCCCAGACUCCUACGGGAGGCAGCAGUAGGGAAUCUUCCGCAAUGGACGAAAGUCUGACGGAGCAACGCCGCGUGAGUGAUGAAGGGUUUCGGCUCGUAAAGCUCUGUUAUGAGGGAAGAACACGUACCGUUCGAAUAGGGCGGUACCUUGACGGUACCUCAUCAGAAAGCCACGGCUAACUACGUGCCAGCAGCCGCCGUAA
rnacentral:rRNA from 1 species